UACGUAGGGUGCAAGCGUUAAUCGGAAUUACUGGGCGUAAAGCGUGCGCAGGCGGUUUUGUAAGUUUGUCGUGAAAUCCCCGGGCUCAACCUGGGAAUGGCGAUGAAGACUGCAAGGCUAGAAUCUGGCAGAGGGGGGUGGAAUUCCACGUGUAGCAGUGAAAUGCGUAGAUAUCUGGAGGAACACCGGUGGCGAAGGCGGCAUCCUGGACCGGCAUUGACGCUGAGGCGCGAAAGCUAGGGGAGCAAACGGG
rnacentral:rRNA from 1 species